rnacentral:lncRNA from 1 species
AAGGUUAUUUGCAAUGGUCCUCUCUAGAGGAGAUCGUGUCGAUAGUUCAGAUAGGACAUAUAAACAAAAGGUACACCUCCAGAAUUGUAUCGAUGCCACUUCACACAGGUACAGAGAGAGAGAGAGAGAGAGAGAGAGAGAGNNNNNNNNNNNNNNNNNNNNGAGAGAGAGAGAGAGAGAGAGAGAGAGAGAGAGAGGAUGAUUGACGUGGUAUCCGAGAUGGUGUUCACAUGGAUUCCCUGACACAAGUUGGACCAUGGUCCAAAGCUGGCUCACCUUCCUUCCUUCCCCUCUAUCCAUCAGAUGAUGGCUGUGAUACGGCACCCUACAACCCGUCACAGCACCACUUCAUAUGGAAAACAGAGUAUUUCAUGUCGUUUGUAUGGUCGUCCUUCCUUCCCUCUUCUCUCGCCGCUGGUGAGUGUGCUCGCCUUGACGAACAUGUCCAUCCCCACCUACCUUCUUCCGCCCCUCGUCUUCUCCUUGCUAUCUUAAAUUCUUCCCCUCCCGACGUGGAGGUGCUCCAUCUGCUUAAGCUCGGAAAACUCUGUUUCAUGAUACAUGCAGCUCAUAUUACGUUGUAGCUGAGGCAAAGCUGCAACAACAACAGAUUACAUACGAACGGUGAUGUGGACUUGUCUCACCUUCUUCGUCGUGUAGGAGUAAAAGCUGCAAGACCAAUUGUUACAUGUACAGCAACCAUUUGAUCCAUGGCUGGCUGGCUGGACUUGUUGCAUUGUUUAUUCUGCAGCAGCUAAAUUAUAGUCUCGGUGUUUUGCUCGGUCUGAAGUUUCUGUAAUUUUCUACCAAAUUCUUCAUGUAAAAAAGGAAAAAGAAAGGGAGUGAAAUGAUGCGAAAAGGAAAAAGGUUGCUGGAAUCUAUCAUGAAGUGACAAAAAGCAGAGCUAUAUAUAGCUUCCCGUGAAGUUGUUGACUGAAUUCUUGAAAUAGAUCUUCUGGAGAAUCCUUCUGUAGGAGUUCUUUUCAGCAGCAGAAUGGUCAUGCAACAGUUGCCAGCUAUAGUUGAACCACAGUGUUAACUUGGUUUGAUGCAGCGUUUAUAGACUUGUAUGUAUCGAUCAUGGAUAUAAACCUCGCACAGCUCGUCAACAGUGGCAUCACAGUCUAAAGCUAUAACCCUUGUGGACUCUGAUUUGGACCGCAUGUGGUUUUUGGUGAGUACCUCUGUGACUCAUCCCCUUUAGCGGAAGCACUGACAGCUUCCUAAUAUGAUGAUGCAAAAGUAGAGGAUGUAAUAUGGAUGGCAUUUUUGGAUUCUCUCUCUCUCUCUCUCUCUCUCUCUGCUGUUCUUUCUGCAAAAGAUUUCACUGGGCCUAAUGCUCAGGCAAUGACCAUCUAGUUUUGUUGUCUCACCGCAGUUGUCAUGUGGUCUCAAUGGGGCACCCCACCCUCGGGUCAAGACAAGAGCUGACAUAGCUGUGUCCUUAGAGAGAGAGAUAGAGAGAGAGAGAGAUGGCCAAAACAACUAGUUUUGUUGGGUGUUUUGCCUGGUGUCAUGUGUGGUUCCAUUAGGCUCCCCACUGUUGGGUGAAGAAGACAUGGGCUGACAGUACCUAUGGAUUUGGGAAACAGAUUUCAAGAGAUCCUUCCUCCUCGCUUUUUCGAGGAGAAAAGCUCUUACCUGUUCCUGACCUCUCACGUGUGACCUCUCGGCCGCUCCCUCCGUUUCAACGACACUACUCGACUCUGCAACAAAAGCCGGGCCUUGGUGCCGAGUAGCUUGGAGUGUUUUCCGAUCAUUGCAGCUGGGGAGCGAGAAGCGUUACAUGGUUUACCUUGAAGUUUGUGGAGUGGAAGGCUGAGGUGAAAGGGAAGCGUAGAAAGCACUAGCAAACACACGCAAACACCAACGUAAGGAGCACCAUGACACUGGAAGCAUUGGCUUCCGCCGGGCUUCCUCCCUUCUUCUUCUACGACACCAUCACCGCCACCACAUCACACCAUUCUGGUCGCGCCUCGAGUUCGAGGUUCCACAAUGCCGGCGGCGACGAUGUAGUGGGUGGCUACUCUGGAGGCACGGACGAAAGGAGGCAGAGCGCGGAAGUAGCAGGGCAAGGAAGGAGGAAGCGGCGGAGGCAGAGGACGCACAAGAACAAGGAGGACGCGGAGAACCAGAGGAUGACCCACAUUGCCGUCGAGCGCAACCGCCGCCGGCAGAUGAACGAGCACCUCGCUGUGCUGCGCUCGCUCAUGCCCGAUUCCUACAUCCAAAGGGUUUGUCUUCUCUUCUGUUUCCUCUGGAAUUGGUUACGGUGGCCAAUUUGCUUUGCUCGGUUAGAGAUGUCUGAACCAUUGCUCUCCGAUGGCUCGAGAUUGAGUUGGCAUUGGCUUUGCAGGGUGACCAGGCCUCCAUUGUCGGAGGAGCUAUCGAUUUCGUGAAGGAGCUGGAGCAGCUUCUCCAAUCACUCGAAGCACAGAAGAGAACGCUACAGCAGCGACAAGCAGGGAAGCCCGAGAGCUCUCCAGCGACCGCAGACGGCGGAAGCAGGAGCAGCAGCAGCCACAGCCAUGGGGUCGAUUCCCCUCCCUUCGCUCAGUUCUUCACCUUCCCCCAGUACGGCUGGCGCCACGCCGCAGCUCACGACUACCCUCAACCGGAGGACCAGCUGCUGCCGGCGUUGGCCGACAUCGAGGUGACCUUGAUCGAGACGCACGCGAACGUCCGAAUCCUGUCGCCGAAGAGGCCCCACCAGCUCGUCAAGAUAGUGUGUGGGCUUCAGGACCUCAAGCUUUCCAUACUUCACCUCAGUCUCACUACCCUGGACGCCAUGGUGCUCUACUCCCUCAGCGUUAAGGUAACUACCUAUUAUGCUCUUGUCGUCUUCGAUUGAUACGUUUAUCGCGUGGAUGAUUAGGGAAAGCAAAUUCUCUUCUUCCCUGUGGAGUCGGCAAGUGUCAGAUAUCCUGUCGAUAGGCACAUGUUCUUGGGCAUCCUCGAAGGGCACUGUUCUUGGAUUGUGAUCGAACACGAUGACUCCAAGAGAUAAUAAUGAUUCUUAUACCUCAAUAUAUCUCUCUCUUGCUGUUUCUCUCCUCCUGUAGCUUCAAAUUUGGCCUGCAAAAAGCUGCGAGAUUGCUUUUAAUCCUUUUACCAGUGUUCACCUUUCUGAGAGUCAGUCAUCAGACGACACUUUCUUCUGCAUGGAAUGCUCCUCUGGAGCCCCUCUCGAUGGCUUCGGAGGUGACAUAGUUCUCAGUGUAGGGGGAAUCCCAACAGAGAACAACACCACCAGACAUGCAUCAUUGCUACCUCCUCUCCACAGUUCACGCAAAUCGUAGGGAUUUUUCUUUGGUUUGAGAAAUCCCACAAGUCUGCGUGUCUCUGGCAAACUAUUAGGAAGUUAUUAUGAUCCUUAGUUCCUUUCGAGUUCAUGUUCUCUGUUUGUAUGGUGGUGGGGUGAUAUAUUGCAGGUGGAAGAAGGGUGCAAUCUGGCCACCGUCGAUGACAUUGCCGCUGCCAUCCACCGUAUGCUUUGUCUGAUUCAAGCUGAGGCGACUGCUGCAGCCCAGUAGGGGCAGGCCAUUCAACAGUCUUUCUGCAAGAAUGGCAGUAGCAGUCAACUACUUCCUUGUGCGGUGUAGCUCGGUGGUCCGGUGAUGCUUUCCUUUUUUCUUCUUUAUCUUCCCUGCCAUGGAUUGUGUGACUGUGUCAUCUCAAUAAGCCCACUCUGGCAUCCAAAAUGGGCCUCCAUGGAGAUGACAUUGUGUAACAUUUUGUGGAUUCUUGACGUGUAGAAGCAGCUUCAUCAAAAGAACAUCUCAUAGCCCAAAACACAAAUCUGAUCUUUUCUUUCAGGCAGGUAGUACGUCAACUUCCUUGGGAUGAGACAGGCCACCGGCAGUCCGGUUGUGGGCAACCACCACCACCACCACCAUCAUUGUCGACCCAAACUUCUGAUGAGGGAUAAAUUGUGCAGCAUGAUAUGUGUCCACUUCAGCUUCUUCACACCGACAUUAUUAUCUCAACACGAUGGUAUGUAAUAUAUGUAUCGAAUCCUAUCUAAACCGAGAUAGACGAUGAACAGAGGCGACGUCCAUCGACUUCAAUGCCGACUGAUGGAAAGAGACGCCACGAGCCCGGCAAUGCGACAGGGCAGGCCAUGAUAAAAGGUCACAAUCUAAUGGAACUUGUGUUGAUAGAGAACGAGAGGGCAGAACCAGAAGGUUCAUCCAUCCCCCAACCAGAUGAUGCUUGCAGUCUCAGCCAACCAUGUUAACUUGUCCUUGAAACUGGAUCUUCUUCAUCUGAUGAGCUUUUGGGUCUUCUUGGAAAGAUGAGCUACUGCUUUCAUUACAAACAUGAUGAAAGGAACGGAUCUUAGAAAUCAAAGGAACAGCUCGCUUCUUCUUCACAGUACCUACUUGGUUGCAGAGGGAGUCGAUAAGGAACAAGAUCAAACAUGAAAACAUGAAUCUGUACACAAGCUUAUAUGGUCAGUGUCAAGCAGAAGAAGCACGAGAAAGAAAAGGAGAACAAAUGGAGGCACAAGCCUCACAGAGCAAUCAGGAAGCUGUUGCCCCAACUCUUGGCCGAAGAAGAAGCUCUUCUGCUGCUCCUUCCCUGCUUCCGCAGAGGAGCGCUCGUCUUGCAUGAAUGCAUCCUAUUCAGGAGAUUCUUGAACUGAAAGGCCAUUCCUUCGCUUUCCGUGCCUCGUUAAGCGGAACCUCCCGUUGGAGAUCGACCUCUUCAUCAGGACUGGGUUCAGGGCACAAUGCAAGCCCCUUACCUUACUGUGCUCGCCUGCAGCUCGCCUCGACGAGCUGCCGCUGACAACGAACAGUUCGUCCUCCAUGCUCGUUCGCAGGACGUCGGCGAUCGAGACCCGGCUGCCACGCGCAGCGUCCAUGGAGAACGAUCGCCUCGUUAGUUGGGUAUCGUCAUCACCGAUCUCAACUAUGGUGUCGGCCUCCUCCACCGCUACCGGAUCACAGUAGACCUGUGGAGGAUCAGUCGCUGCGUCCGCACUGCUUCCAGCAGGUUGCGUCUCCUCGUCCUCUAUGGUUAGAACCAUCUCAUCGAUGCGUUCCGUGUCUUCGGCCCGAACGCUGUUCUCCGACUCUGGAGCAGCCGGCAACUGAGGCGGCACCGACACGAUAUCGGCUCGGCAGAGAGGGCAAUUGGAGUGCGAUCUCAGCCAAGUGUCGAUGCACCGGAGGUGAAAGGCGUGGCUGCACUUGGGGAGCAACCGGAGGCUGUCAUCCUCCCGGAACUCGCUGAGGCAGACGGAGCAAUCCGUGCCCUGCACCGUAUCAUCGCCUCUCCGAUACUUGUAGACCGCAAUCUUACCGAUCAAGGCCUCGUCGAGCCCGUCCUUCGGGGAGGUAUGCCAAGCAUCACGUCGGCGAGAGUGGCCGACGCUACCGUCACCGUGAUCGCGGUUGUCCGCGCCCGGAGGAUCGAUCCAGCGUCGCAGCGAGUCAAAGGUACCGCAGUAUCUGGAGACGAUGGUGUAGUAGCAGACGAGGAGGAAAGCGCCCGCGAGGACGCCGAUGAUGGAGAUCACGAGCGGGGAGAAGGUGGGGCCGGAGUCGUCGCCGGAGAAUUCGACAGGGGGAGGUGGUGGGAAAAUGACAUAGCACCACUGGGGGCAGUAGAAGCUACACAAGCCCAUGGAGCAGUCCGUCGUCGGCACAUGUGGAACCCAAGUUUGCUGGUCUUCGGUGAACGCCAUGAAGAACUGUGAUCGCAGGACAGAGAGGGUUGGAAUUAUAUUUGGAACUCGAGAGAGAGAGAGAGAGAGAGAGAGCUCUACUUCAGCUGGAAGGGUGGGUUUUGAGGCGUGAUGAAGGAAUCAGACGUGCUUGAUUGCAAAGCAAAGCAUUGAAGAGGGAAGAGAGACGGCUCAUUUGCUUUUGUCAACCUCUUUCUCUCUUUUCUUCAUGCAAUGGCCCCUUCACCUGUCAUUUGCUUUGUUUUCUCUGCAAUGGUGGUGAGAUCUGAGUGGGAGAGGUGAUGGAUGGUUGACUGAGGAGAGGUGCUGUGGGAUGCCAAUAAUAUCGAUGCCUAAUAAUCGUUGUUGAGGGUUGGUGGUGCCGAUUGACACUUCAUUCUACUCCACAAAGUCAAAUCAACAAACACUUGGAUCUAAGCUUUCUCUGUCUUCCUUCACAGUGAUGAUCUUUACUUUUCUCUCUCAAAUCAUGUUAUUGUGGUGGCUUAAGAGUUCACUGGUUGGAAGAAAGAAAGAGACAGUCAUGCAUCCAUCUAAUUGUUCUCGCACAACAAUCCCACCUACUGUGAGCUCCAAAUCAUCCACCUCAAGCAGAACAACUCCCAUCUGCAUUGCUGAUGGAGGUGACACCAACUGGAGCAUAUGACAUGAUGAGUCGAAGGAUGAGUCCUGCAACUAAAGUUUGGAGGAGUCAGCAGCAAAAGUCUGAAGACAGGCUUGAGGGAAAGAGGCAACUUGGAAUAAAGGGGGUUCAGAUAAAGCUAAGACACCAUCAUCUUCCUGCUCUCUUUAGUUCUCAAAAGCCACAACUCCACAGAGCUACAGGGCCCCCUCUCUGAGUCUAAGAGCUCCUGAGCUUGGCAUGCAACUUAGUGAUGAAUCCUCCCUCAUGCCAUGAGCCUUUGGGCAGUGACCCAUUUAAGAUUAUGCUAAUCUUACCAAUAUGAUUCUUUCAGGCAUUAAAGGUUCCAUGAUCAUGGAGUAUGUGUUCAUGAAAGCUGGAAGGAAAAUCUAAAGUUGCAUCUGGUGUCCACAUUGACCAUAUUAUAAUACCCAUGCCAUCCCAUCAUCACUUCCUGGAAAACUAAAAUUGAGGAUAUUAACUAAGAAAGAAGAUUGACACCAUUUUGUUUGAAGCCACAGUUGAUUUCUAUGAUCUCUUUUUCAUUUUAUCAGAGAUCCAUAUGAACAGAUGGUACUUGAGCAUUCCUUCUGUCAGGAAACAGCUCUCUGCCCAUCCUGUCUGCCUCAGUUUGGUUCUGCUAACUGUUCUUGAAUCAGAAAAUGCAUUUGGAUUAGUUCCACAGGUAAUACACAAUUGAUUGGCAUUGAAUCAUACUUCCAGAAAGUGAACUGUGUAGCUAUUCAAAUUUAUAAUCUUUCUUUGCUUUGUAUCUUACUGCAUUGGAAACCAACAGAAACACGAUAUCAUCCGCAACUUAUAUCUUUGCACCUCUCAUAGUGAGAAUAUCAGCAAUAAAUUAAACUGCAGUAAAAGGAGCAGUUCCAACCAAAACUAGGAUAAGGGUCUGUGUUCAGCUACAUACCUUUAAAGAUUGAAAAUGAAAGUUGUCAGGGCUUUCUCUAAGACAGCAGAAUUAUUCAUGGAUGUCACCUGAAACCAACUUCAGAAAACAAGUUGACAUGAUAAUCGAAACAAGAGGAAGAUGCAAGAUAUUUAAGAAUGAAUUAGCAUCCUAUUGGUCCUCAUUUAUUACAUGCCCAACAUACACUUUGUCACCACAUUUGCAUUAGGUUGCUCAUUGCCUAUAACCCGAGAAACAGAAGUGAAGGUUAUUUCUAGUUAAAGCUGAUAAAUUUCAAACACAGCCAAUUUUAUAUGUCUGUAAAACCAGUCAUAUAUAAUACCUAAAGUAAAGAAGCUCAAAUGUCAAAAUCAAAGCAGCAACAGCACAUGUAACAGAACACUAAGGUCAAAAGCAUUAUGGCAAGCACUUGGUGGUUUGUAGACAAAAAACUUGAACACCAGAAGUAUGCAGUUCAAAGUUCAGAGUAAAGAUACUCCAUAAGAACAUCCCUGUUUAUUAGAAACUGCAAGCAUACACAAUAAAAUUCUAUCGGAGUAGAUGAAAAGAAUAUAUACUCGGGGGCAGUUAAAAGUAUCAGUAAUUAAAGUUACAUGCCUUCUUUCUCUGUGUAUUAACAGCAAGGCUGCUGUACAUGACUGUCAUGACAUGUCAACACAUGUCUUGUCCCCUUUGCUGAUAUAAAUUAAAAAAGUUGGAAAUUUUACUGCCUCUAAGAUUCAUCUGAUAGUUCAUUUGUGCUGUCUGAAUCCCCAGGUUCACUUUCAGAUUUAUCCUCAGUCCUUUGACUUAUUCUCAAACGAACAGGUCUGCCCAACAAUUCCUGUAAUGUGCAAAUCAAAUGAUUACUUAUCUAUAUUGAACAUAAAUGUGCCUGUAGGAUACUACUACAGAAUGCAUUAUCAAGUUAUCGACCAAUUAAUGAGAAACACAAAUUGUGUAGUUGUGGCGUUUUCCAACUUUAACCAACGAAUAUUACCUGUAGGAAAUUACUGCAGAAUGCAUAUCAAGAUCUCUACCAAUUAAUAGUAAGCAUGAGUUAAGCAUAGAUACGGCUUUUUUUUUUCAACUUUAACCAACAAGUAUUGAUUCUUUAAAACCUAUUAGCUUGGAUAAAGAUCCUGUCCAGACAUGAGGACAUGUACAUGUGAAUACAUGAACCCUUGAAAAAGACAGUAAGCUUACACAAUGAAUAUUCCAGUGUGUUACAACCUAUAAUACCUAAAACCUCGGAAGACUCUCUCUAGGGUUUUUAGAGAGAGAAACUCUAGCGAUCACAGUCUCUCCCCCAUCCCUCCUUGGAGGUGCCACGUCCCCCUCCUCCCGUUCCAUCGGAUCCUCCUCCCUUACACACCCACCUCGCUCGGGUGCUCUUGCAUCCCCUUCCCCUGCUGAGCCUACUUCCUAGGCGAAUCUAUUUCGCAAGGCCAAAGGGUUUGCAGAUGGUCAACCAAAUCAAGCCUUAGAGAACCAUCUCUCCAAGAUCCAGAGCCAUUCUUCAUAAGCCGAAGGGGAUCCCCUUCACCAUAUGAAUUUUCUUUUAGAUUAUAUUAAAAUAAUUCAAACUUGCAUGUCUCCCCCCACUUUUUCAUGUUUAAUCAAUGGCACUUCUUCUAAUCAAUUUAAAUCUUAUAGUGGCAUACGACAAGGGGAUCCCCUAUCACCCUACAUGUUCAUAAUUUCUCAACAAAUCCUUUCUUCCCAAAUUUCUUGUUAUGGUGAUCAACAACUCAUCUCACCCUUUGACCUUAGGGAAUUUAUAUAUCUCACUUAAUGUUUGCAUAUGACCUUUUAAUCUCCUAUCGAGCAAAUUCAAAAUCUUGCUCAAAUAUCCUUAAAGUCCUUCAAACUUUCUAGAAGCUAACCAACCUUAAAGUUAAUUUAUCUAAAUCCAACAUCUAUUUCUCUAAACAUGUCUCACGUUCCUUCAAACAUUCAAUUAUUCACUAGGUAUUCGGGAAGGUUCUUGGCCUAUAAAAUACCUAAGGUUCCUAUCUUGUUUUGGGUCAGCUUCCACAAAAUUACCAAAAUACCAUGGUUGAUAAAGCCCUAUUAAGAGUCCAAGGUUAGUGUAAGGGUCUAAUUUCUCAAGCAGGCAAAAUGGUGCUUAUUAAUUUUGUAAUCAACUCAAUCCUAACACAACUCAUCUUCUAUUUGAUAGCAACAUUUCGGAUGUCAUACUUAAUCAUAUGCCCCAAAUCUCUAGAAACUUCUUUUGAAAUUCUAAUUGUUCUUCCCCCUGAAUGAAAUUUAUUAACUGCGACACUGUUUCUAAGCCCAAAGACUGCGAUGAUCUUGGAAUCCAUGAUCUUCUUACAGUUAAGAAAUUAAUCAAUGCCAAGCGUAUUCUUCCUACCUUAAACAAAUCUAAUACUCUUUGGAUUCGAAUUCUUAGAGCAAAAAUAUGGGGACUUACACCCUUGGACCGAACUUAUCAUUCCUAAUCCUUCUCGAUCGAGAUGUAACAUUAAUCAAUUAAUCUUGAACAUCAGGGGUGGAUUUAGAAAAGUCACAGGCAAUGGUCUUAAUACAAAUAUCUUGUCUCAUGGAUUGAUAAUAUACCCAUCAGUCAUUGGCCUACGCUUGUUAAUGUGGGAGAGUUCCAACAUUUUUAUUCAGUUUCAGAUCUUUUUUCUACAAAUGGAUGGAAUGUUUCUUCUUCUACUCAAAUUUUUCAUCCAGCCUUAUUGAUAGGAUUCUUAGGAUUUAUAGAUCUAGAAACCCCGAUGAUGACAAAUGGAUUUGGUAGCCUAGUCUUUUAGGCUCUCUGACAACUAGUGGCGCCUAUCAAUAAAUAAAAACAGAUACUAAGGAUGAGAACUGGAAAGGCUGGAAGGUGUUAUGGCAACUUUCUAGAGCUCCAAGGGUCAAGCUAUUCCUACGGAAAUUGUCUUGGAAUUUUUUGCCUACCUCUGACCUUUUUGCACAUAUUCUGCAUCAUCAUCCUGAUCCCUGUUAUGUCUGCAAUGUGCACACAGAUUCUGCUUUGCAUAUACUUCUUGAAUGUCCAGUUGCUAUUUCCUUUUGGAAUUUGACACAAUUCAAAACUGGCAUUUGCUUCAAAUUUUUUAAUUCUUCGUCUUCGAGUACUUGACUUAAAAAAAGGGAAGGAUUUACCAAAGCUGAGACGAUCCAAGUGCUCUCCCUGAUUUCCUAUGGUUUUUGGACCCUUUGGCUUAAUAGAAACAAUGUCAGAUUUCGCAACCACUGUGCCAAUCCUCAUUCCCUGGUUAAUAGGGCAUUAGCCCUUAUGAACGAAAACUUUCAGGUUGGACCUGAUCCUGAGGAGACUACUGGACAUAUAUUGACUCAGAAACAUAAUAUAGGGGCAGGAAAUUUUAAUUUCAUUUUACAACAUGAUGGCUCCUUUUUGUCCUCUGAUUCUUCCGUACUGACCGGUUUCAUCUUCUCCAGAAUCUGCAACCACUGCUGUUGGCUGCAGUUUGUGCAAACUGCAAAGCUCAUAAUGCAGUCAUGGCAGAAGCGUUGGCGGUCCUGGAAGCUUUAAACCAUGCAGCAACUCUCCACUGGAAGAACAUCUGGGUUCAAACAGAUACCUAGGCACUAAUUCACUAUGUGGAUGGUUCUCAGGAGAUCCCAUGGUUCCUACAGGAAUAAUCUUGGAUAUUACAUCAUUGAUGCAAUCUCUUCAGAUCUCCUAUUUCACUUAUAUUCCUAGAUCCAGUAAUUGCAGAGCACAUCAGCUCACUCACUAUGGAAGAACAUCUGGUCUAUCAACUUUCUGUAAUGUGGAUGAUCUUUCCGGUUCAUCCAAUCCUCUUAACAUUGUUCUCUAAAGCAAGGUUUGUAAUUUCAUACCGUCCCGACGUUUCAAGCUCAGCUCGUAUGGUAUGGNNNNNNNNNNNNNNNNNNNNUGUGUGUAGUAUAUAUAUAUAUAUAUAUAUAUAUAUAUAUAUAUAUAUAUAUAUAUAUAUAUAUAAGUUCAAAAAUAAAAAAUGGGCGACGUCGUCAAGGCGCCGCCGCCGCCUUGUUUCUUCUUUCCGCAAAGCUUCUUCUCCCCGCAGGAAUGAGAAGAAGUCGCCGACGAUGCCGAGGAGGCGACAUCUCAUAUGCGGCGUCUAGCAAGGGAGGGUGACGACAGAUCGGGAUCGUCGAGGGAGAGCGACGCCGGAUCUCCAGGUUCUCCCUUUUCUUCUCCCUCUUCUUCCUUCUCCCUAGGCUAAUACCAUCAAGUAGCCGGUGGUGAUAGUCGAAAUCAACCGUUACCAACCGAUUUCGGGCGGUAACGAGGCGGAAACAACUCCAAUCGACGAUACUGCCCGGUAGCGGUUGGUCCGCGUACUGGCCUGCUGUUGGACCAGUACGUACCGCCCGGUACGGACGGUAUCAUUCGAAAUUAAAAUUUUUGCUCUAAAGUUAAUAAUAAUUUCCUUUUCGAAAAAAAAAACUCGGAAGGAAAAAAAAAACACAAUUAAAUAAGUAUAUAUUCAACAUUGAAAUACUAUGUAAUGCAAACCAAGAAGUUGAUCUAGGCCAUUCUUUUUAUUCUUUUCUAAUAGGCAUGUUUCUCUAAAGAAAUACAACAUGUUAAAUAUUAAAAUGAAAUACUCUAAAUAUCUUAAUAAACUCCAGAAAAAGUUAUUGGAUAACUAAUUGCAGAUGUAGGUCUUAUACAUACCUAUUGCAAAUUGGUUAAUAGUCAGAAAACAUCUGGACUUUAUGACAUACUUUCUAAUAAUUAUUAUGUUCUUGUAUAUGACAUGCUAUGCCUCCUGUAUGGACUCAACAAAAGCAGCACUUGUGGGUUAGUCCAUUAUCCUCUGAGAGUGUCAUCCUCAUUUUGUUCAAGUUGCUUGUGAAUGAACUGAUAUCCUAGCGUGACCCAUGUCCUUGCUACACUCGUUGGUAAAGAUAAAAAGAUCAUUACUAAGUUUGCACUGUAAUACAAACACAUAUAGAAUCCAAAAUCCUAAGAUUAAAUUGAAUGUUUAUCUGUCUUUGUUGCAACCGAGGAAGUGAAACAAUACAGCCACACUCCUUUUUCCCAUGAAGGCAUAUAUGUGCCAAUCUGCAACACAGCUUACAGAACUGACUGUACGUUGCAGGCAUUUGGAUAUAUGAUUUUGAUAUUUAUAUGGCAAAAAGAGAAUUCAUAUAUCAACCAUUAUGUAGAAAAAAUAGAAGCUGAAACAUGAAGUGUUGUAUACCACCUUCCCAUCCAGUUCAGAAAUGGCUGCCUCUGCUUCCUCCUUUGUGGCGAAACCAACAAAGCCAUAUCCAGCAGAUCUUCCUGUUGGGUUUUCAAAAACUACUCUGGCCGAGAGGGGUUUAAACUUUUCAAAGAACUCUUUCAGGUUGACAGACCUGGCUUUCCAAGCAAGAUUCGAUACAUAGAUCUUGUGACGUGGCUCAAUUGCAACUGCACCUGGUGGGGGAGAAGGUGGUGGUUUCCUGAAGCUCUUCGCAAAUUCUACCCUGAUUAUCCUUCCCGUCAACUCCUAGAAGUGUAGAAACUUAUUAGCAAACUAAAUUUUUAAUAAAUACCUACAAAUUGUUCAUUAAUAAAAUUCACUUUUUGCACAUAUCACUUAGCUACAUUAUUAUCUAGAAAAAAUAUGUCCGUCCAUUGCCGAAUACAUAAUUAAUGCAUAGAUACUAGAAUAAAAAAAGAUACAAUCAUGAAACUUGUUCCCUUUAAUAUGUUUUACUAACAUCUGCAUGCUUUGAAUACUCAAGAUUUUGACUCACCUGAAGAAUUGGACUUAUCAAAAACACUAAAUUUUGAAGACCAGAAAAGAGAUUGUCCACAUUCAACUGAGGUAUAUAAGAUAGUGCUACAUAAUCCUGAACCAUUAAAAUUCUCUACGCAAGCAGCACCAGUUUUGUACUGGACGACAUAGUUGAGUUGCAAGUAGGUUAUAAGACAUCACAUGUUAAGGAGCAUGGUCUGUAUUGUAAUGUGAGCAACCAAGGAAUAAGAUAAGAAAGAUAAUUGACUGUGCUACUAAAUUUAAGAGAACAAUGGGAAACAAAAUGCUUCUUAUUUCUCACGUAUGCGUCCAACUUGUCCACAGCAGUGCGUGCCUCCUCCCCGGACGCCAUCGUGACAAAGGCGAAGCCCCUGCUUUUUCCACUCUUCUGCUUAAUUAUCUGCAAUCAAUCAAUCAUUCAAUCAAGAAACACAACAAAAGACAAGAGAGAACGAAUUGGAUGAAGCGGAGAUUCUACCUCGACAUCUUUGACAGUGCCGCACUGGGCGAAGAGCUUCUCGAUGUCCGGCGCGGAGAAGUCCCACGGCAAGUUCACCACGUAGACUUUCCGCCGUAUCUCCCCGAUCUCAUCCUCCUCCACCGCCUCCGCCGGUGGCUCCGGCUCCACAGCAACAUCUUGGACUGCGGAGCACCAGAGGAAGCCGCAACGGGCCCGCCUCUUGGCGGGGAGAGGGAAGGGAGGGAGGAGGGAGGACGACCGGGGAAUAGAGAAGCCGGCAGGGGUACAAAGGGAAAUGAGGGGCUUAACGGAGCAGAUGGAGGAAGAAGAAGGUUUAGCUCUUGGAAGGGGGAGGGGGCCGAAGGAGAACGUCGACGCCGUCGCUGCCGCUGCCGCCAUUCCGACGGAGAACAGGGUAAACCGGAGGGCGACACGACUGAAGUAUCGGCUCGUGCGGGGUAGAUUGACGAAAUCGCCCUUAAAUUGAAGGAUAUGGAUAAGGCGGCCGUCCUCCCUAUCACAUGAUUUAAAACAUAUAUAUAUAUAUAUAUAUAUAUAUAUAUAUAUAUAUAUAUAUAUAUAAACCUUUACUUUGGAUAAUUCCUAAAAGAAAUAAUAAAAUACAAUUUUGCUAUUUAGUUCACUCCCCUUCUUACUAUUUAUAAUCCUUUUCUUAUUCAUAAUCUCUUAAAAUUAAUAAAAUAAUAUUUUAUUAUUCACAAUCCUUCUAAUUUUAUUUGAUCUUUUUUUUCUUUUCUUGCACCCUACUAUUGUUAGCUCUUCCCACCAUUUGCACACUCUUAGGUAGUUUGCCCAGGUUCAAAACAUGAUAUAUUUUAGUUUAAUAUAACUGAUUUGAAAGAUUAUAUCUUCUUUCUUAUUAUAACUCUAAAAAUAUUAAGUCAUUAUAAUAGAAGUCAGAAACUAUUUCACACCUCCUCCCUUUUUAUUUUUAGGUCUCAUUUCAUCAUUUGUCCUUUUUACAUCACCUUCCACAGUUAAAAGGGAGGAGGAGGAGUUGAAGAAAAAGAAGGGAAAAAAAAAGUUAAGAUAAUGAGUAAAACAAUUUUAUUAGAAUUAAGUUAUAAACGACGGCAUAUACAUCUAUUUACAUGGGAUAACUUAGGAAUAUCUAAAGUUGGAUUAUAAAUAAUAAAAAAAGGAGUUUAAAAUUGUAAUAUCCUUUAUAGCAUUUUGAUUAUCAAUUUAUCCUUUUAUUUCCACUACAUAUUAACGUUGCUCAUCGCUCAUCGUACCCUUCAUCGCUUGUAGAGAGAGACAUUAUAAGAUCGAAUGAUAUCCCAAAAAAAUAAUAUGUGUAACUCUUUCUCCCUAAUCUCUUUAAAUACACUUUCCGUCAAUAUGGGCAUGCCUUCCCCUAAUCCUAAGAUUGAACAUCAAAUAAAGAAGAUGAAACCUUUAAAAAUGAUAGUGGGUCGAUGAGAAAGGUUGGAGACAAGGUGGGAGGUUAUGGUGAAGUAAUAUAUGAUGACAUGGAAGGCCUCCAAUUUCAUGGUUUGUGUUUGUAGCCCCCUCACCUUCUCCUUCGUAUACGUUAUCAACCUUCAUCUCAUCAGUCACUUGCUCUUCUCUUUUGUCUCAUCCAUAACGUAAGAAGCCUACGUAGGAGCAUUGAGAUAGUCAAGUAGCAAGGUCUAUUAGUUGUUGUUGCUUCCAUUGGUAACCCUCACUUGGGUCAUCCACCCCUUGCGAUCAUCGCUUGUGCUUGCUCAUUGUUUGGUUAAAUCAAUGUUGGUCCGAUCGAGAAAGAAGAAAAAAAGAAUAUUUAUGUUUAUUUUAUUUAAAAAAUAUUUUUAUUAUAAAAAUAGUAAAAAAGAUUGUAAAUAAAAAUCUUAUGAUGUGGAAGGCUUCUAUUUACAUGGUCUCCAUUUGAAACUCCCUCACCUUCUCCUCUAUAACCGUCGUGAACCUUCACUUCAUCAGUCACUUGCUCUUCUCCUCCAUCUUUCUAACAGCCCAAAAAGCUUACGGGAGCAUCGAGGUAGUCAAGCCCUACUAAUCACUCAAGUAGCGAGGCCCACCAUUUAUUGUUGCUUUCGUCAGCAACCCUGACCCAAAAGGAGAAGAAAGUAAAAAGAUAUUUAUGUUUAUUUAUAAAAUAAUAUUUUACUAUAAAUAGUAAAAAAAAGAUUACGAAUAGAAAUCUCUUGUAUGAAUUUUAAAAUUAUUAUUGUUACUCUUUGAGAAAAUCAUACUAAGAUUAAAAAUUUAAGAUUUUUUAUUUUUAUAUAUGAAUUUAAACCACCCAUACAAACGCGAAGAUGAUUCUCCCACCACUGCUUUUAAGGAAGAACCACGCUCCAUGUCUCCAUUGCGAAAAGAGCAACGGAGCAGUUCAGCGGGGACCGAAGCAAAGCAGCGACCGCAAGCUAUCCUGCUCCUUCAUCCCUAAGCAAACACCACCUGCGCAGUCACCAAAAUGGCUCUCAGCAACACCCUCAUCGCCGGCAUUAAUUUCGUGGCCAUGCUUCUCUCCAUCCCCAUCGUGGCCGUCGGCAUCUGGCUCGCCACGCAGGCCGACAACUCCUGCGUGCAGCUUCUCCAGUGGCCUGUCAUCGCAGUCGGCGUCGUCGUCCUCCUCGUGGCCCUGGCGGGCUUCGUCGGCGCCUUUUGGCGCGUUCCGUGGCUUCUGCUCUUCUACCUGGUUGCCAUGCUCGUCCUCAUACUCCUGCUGGCCGGCCUUGUGGUGUUUAUCUACGCGGUCACCGUCAAUGGCUCAGGUCACCUCGCCCCGGGCCGAGCUUUCCAGGAGUAUCGCCUCGAGGACUACCCGGGGUGGCUUCGGCAGAGGGUGGAGGGACCACACCGGUGGAACCGCAUCAAGGAAUGUCUUAGCUCGACAGCAGCGUGUGCGGAGUUGAACCGGACGUAUACAUCGGCUCAGCAUUUCUUCGAUGCAAGGAUCGGUCCCUUACAAGUGAGUGUGAUGGGUUCUGCUGAAUACUGCUGCUAUUCACUGCUGCAUGAGGGUUUUAAUCUGAUGACGUGAGGUCUUUGUUUUCUUCUUCUUCUGGUUUGUUUAUGUCACCAGUCAGGGUGCUGCAAGCCACCGACGGAGUGCGGAUACACAUUUGUGAACCCGACGUACUGGAUCAGCCCCAUCAGCGCCGCGUCCGACAUCGACUGCAUGCUGUGGAGCAACGAUCAGACGGUGCUUUGCUACUCGUGCUCGUCCUGCAAAGCCGGCCUCGUAGCCAACCUCGGAAGAGAAUGGAAGAGGGGCGAUGUGGUCUUGGUGGUGACCCUCGUGGCCCUCAUCGUCGUCUACGCCAUGGGUUGCUACGCUUUCCGGGAUGCCAAGACGCAGGAGCUGUUCCAGAGAUACAAGCAAGGCUACUACUGAGGAACCAAACAUGGGUUGCAGCUGGCAUUGAUGAAGGGGAGAAUAAAGAAAGAUGACGCAUCUGUGGAGAUUCCUGGGGUGGGUUGCCGAAAGGUGGUUCUAAAGGAGGAGGAGGAGGAGGGCUAGGUGUAAAGACAGAAGAGCGCAACAACGUGCGAAAACUUACUUUUGAUCCUCUGUAGCAAAAGCUGCUCUGACGCUUUCAUAGAUUCCUGUCGAGAUUAUUAUUUCUCCAUGGAUAUGCCCUUUAAUAACAUAAAUCUACCAAAACUAGAAUUUAUUAUAUUUACCAGCAUUCUUUGUCGACGGUAAGCAAUUAUCACUUGAAUCUAUAAGAACAGAGGAAGAAUCGCUGGAACUCAAAGGCAAAAAUAUGUCGUGAUUUAAAUAAAAAACAAAAAACAAAAAAUAAUGGUACAAUUGCCUCAAAACUGUUAAGAUGAUGUCUAGGCCUUCACUUUUCUUUUAAUAUCUAGGACCUGCAGAAAACUUUCAGAGGAUCAGUUACACGGUAGCAAGUUAUGUAUAAAACAGCAGGAACUCAAUAGAUUAAAUGACAAGUUGUGAAUGAUAAACUUUAGAUGUGGAGAAAGCACUGGCAAUUGACUCCAGUCUACUGCAGGAUUAUCACAUCUCACUUGCUGAAGGUUCCGACACACUUUUAAUGCAUAAAACAGCAAGUUACGUAUAAAACAGCAGGAACUCAAUAGAUUAAAUGAAGGUUCCGACACACUUUUAAUGCAUAACGUGGUGAAAAACAGCACCACACAACAUUUGAUCAAUACCAAACAUAUAUCUUACAUAGAACGUACUAGUCUAGAUAAAUAAAUCAAGCUUUCAUAACCAAACUACAUCAACAAUUUUACUCAAAGAGUCCUUGUUUCUAUUACGGUAGAUUAUGACAGACCUUAUUAGUUACAAGUUCUGACAUUAUGUAAAGGUGGUCUAUCAUAUUUAAGAAUUGAGUUUUGAACAUUUAAUUUUAAAUUAGAAUAGUUGUUGAUAAUCAACAUAAUCCCAUUGAUGCGGAGGCCUACUGAUGGUGUUUCAUUAUGUGGUCAGCACAAAAAAAGAUGCAAAUCAUUCAGCACUUCUUCACUUUCUUUCUCUCCAUACUUCUCAAGUUGUUUAGAUGCAAGUCAUUCAUCAUCUUCUUACACCAAAAUAUAUAAUAAACUUCAAAUCCAAAAAUUCAUAAUAAGUGGAAAAAGAGAAUGCCCAAUUCAACAAACUUAAUGGUGACUUUGACACAUGAAAGACAUUCAAGAAUCUUGUCAUUGUCAUUACCUACCUUAGACUGGAAGUGUCUCAUGGUCAACACGAUGAUAUCCCGUAACCUGCACAAGAAAGUCGCAUGAGAGUGCAAGAGAGCAGAAACAUUAUCUGCGGAGGAUUAUCAUUGGAGUACAAAUCCAACAGCAUGCUGUAACAAACUGACCGAACGUCAUUCUCCAGGCUAUACGGCUGACAAGUUCCAUCUGUGCUAAGUGGGAGAUUGGUUCCAUCUGAACAAGUCAACACAAACUGGGUUGUGUACCCAAGAGGAACUUUGAUCUAUCAAGUCAAUCACAGAGAUGUGAUUAAAUAUCAAGUAAUGAAGCAUAUAACAGUAUAACUAUACACUUCCUGUUUAAAAAUACCUUACUUUUAAAUCAGGUGAAUAUUUUUCUUCUAUUACCAAAUCAUCAGAAUGUUUCACCUUAAUCUGAUAGAUGGAUCGUUUCACAACAAGAACUGUUUGCUGCCAGUUGGAGGAAUCCACCUACUCAUUUAUGAAAGUUAGUAGAUGAAUUUUAUGACCAUUUAUUAGUGAUCAAUCAGAAAAACUCAUUCAUGAAGAUUUUAUUUUCUCACAGUUACUAUGCAUACGUGAUGUAAAGCAACACUAUUUAAGUGAAAAAUUAAGGAUUUAGAUAUCCAGACUGGCAUGAUACAUUAUAAUACAGGAAAAAGAUAAUUUAAGAAAAGUAUGCAUCAGUAUUACUUUGGGUACAACCAGCAUACCGCGUAACCAUACAUGAUAGGAUCAAUGAAUGCUGGCCGGUAAUGUUGGCAACUGGCAUCGCCAUCUAUUCCAAUCUUAAUGUUAGGCAAUGCAAAAGCAGACUUCUUCAUUAGUUAGCAUCGUUAGCAAUUCACUCUUCCAGAUAUUUGCUUUCGUGUAUCUUGCAGCAGUUCCAAUAUGUUGCUUUUUGUCAGAUUUCCCACAAGGAUAUCAUGAUUUGCCUAAACUAAUUCAUUUUUACAGGGACAAACAUUUGUGAUGUCCUUGACAUACUGAUGCAGCUCUUUUUUUAUGUUUCUCAGCAUUAGUCGUAGAUUGAAUCCAAGGCCAAUAAUAUAAUGGCAUAACAUGUAAAUGCUUCCGAAGUUUAUCAAAUCAUUAUGAUUUUAUGAGUAGACCAUUUCAUAAACUGAAAAUUCUGUCCCACUAUGACAGAGAGAUGUUAAGUAAAUGGUUUAAUAAGAGUUUCUAACCAGCACAACAUCUGUUUUGAUUUCUUUCUUUUUAUAUGCUAUAGUAUAAUUAUGGUUUCUUGCACUUAAAAUAAAAACUUGUCCUUAGCGCUUAAUAAAAAUUUUAUUAGGAAAAAAAAUAGCAUCAGUGAUUCAUUAUUUAAACUUUACAUAAUUACAACUAAGGUUCGUCGUACCAUAGCAUACCACCCGAUACAGGCGGUACAUACCAUUCCGAUAGGAGACCGGAAUGGGCGAUACAUAUCAAUUUGUUCAUAUGCUCCACCGUACAAUGUAUCGAUAUGUCAGUACGAUUUGGUAAGUACCAUACUAACGACCUGUCACGGACAAAUAUAUAAACAGAGUAUUUGAUGUAAUGUUUGUGUAUGUCUGUGUCUUUCGGUUUUGUUCAUGCUUUGCACAGCAUGUAAAGAGCUUGUGGUAGACUUGUAAACACAGGUUGUGUGCAAUCGUUGCGCAGAGGCAAGACUGCCCAAAAACAAGCCAUUCAGAUUGUUAUUUUGGGAGUUUUCUAGAUUCGCAGAGUGGUGCAAACUGCGAAGUGUUAGCCAAUACAACACCCAGGAGCUACCCGGGUGGCACGUGGUUGAAAGGGCCUUUAGGGUAGUGUUUAGGGCUAGUUCGUUAUGUUGUACCACAACAAUGUCAAGUGGGCACUUUUAGGGACUUUUGGUCGCGGCAGACCACCUUUUGGACCCUUUGUUGUGUGACCAUUUAGGGCUUGCAAAGUCUAUUUUUAUAAUUGUCAUUGUUUAUCAAGUAUUUGUUGAAAUGACUACUUAUUGGAUCCUAAGUUAAACGCUUCCUUAGUUCCUUUAACUUGUCUUCUCUUUCGCAGGUCCCUAAGGGACCAUAAGAGGUUUCAAAUAAGCUAAUCUUUUAUGAACGGAUACGUAAGGGUGCGGCACGACUUAGGCAAAACCAAUUAGUCCGUGAUAAACUAAUCGAUACACUGAUAUGGACCGGUAAGGUGAACCAUGCUUGCAACAAACGUUUGAGUACACAAAAACCUAGACAGGUUCACAGAGAGACUCCCUUGAUCUUUAACUUUGUAUUCAUGGAGCCAAUUUGCUUAAGCAUGGAAUCAUGUUUCUUAGUAGUAUUCACAUUCAGUUUUGCACAGUUAUGGAGACCAUCAAAUUAAUUUACAACCAAUAAGGAAAAAUGUUCUACCUACCAAAUAGUUUAAAGCUUUUAUGCUGGUCAGUCAUUUCUGUUAUUUGUCUUAAUGAGGAAUGAGGACGAGAAUUUAAACGAACAUAAAGUUCAUACUCGUACAUAUUUUCUUCACAAUUUCCAUGGAGCCUUCUCAGUUGCGCUAUGUAGCUGAGGCCAUUAUAAUAUAAAAGGCUUAGAUAUGUUGACAAUGUCAAUAGCAUACAAUCUAUUGAAUAAAAACCCACACUAUGUUCUUUCAGCUGAUGCCAGAAUAGUUUAAGUGGUGAAUAUAGGUGAGUUGGCUCUGCAGAUGCCAGUUUCUUGGAUUUAUUCUUAUUGUUCACUAACCAUAUUCUAGAUUGAUUCAUUUUCAACUUCAAUUAUUCUAAGAAGGAUUAAAAAGAAUCACGUGAUCCACAACUUAUAUCACAAUCUAAUUCAAACCACUCCCACACUUUUACAACUAAUUUCAUAAUGACUAGAAUGUAGCAAAUGCUAAAGAAAUUUUGUAUGCAGAAAAGAACAUUCAAAACUCCGUUUUGCAUUUGGUGUGCAAUGCUAGCAACCAAAUUAACAAGUGUUCAAACGGUGAAUGUUUGAGAGUGAUAUUCUUGAUGAACUUCUUACUCAACACAUUAUGAUACUUUAAAUCAGAUACACUAGGAACUUCGGACUCAACACAUUAUGCUAACUGGCCAAAUUUAUCCAAUCAUUUUGCAGUGAAUUAUGCCAAAUUUUACAAGGGUGGUGCCAAUUACUAGCCAACUCCAAAUUAAGAAGAUGGCACUCAGACAAACACUUAAAAGAUUAGUAGGUAGGUAGAAGCUUUGCAUUCCUGGUUGUCGCUUGAUAUUCUCCAACCAUUAAGUGAUUCUCAAAUAUCAUACACAUCUGGGAAGAGUUAUACUUGCAAUAUUACUAAAAAAACCACAUGUAUACAAAAUCUGGAAGAUAUGUUACUUUAUUAAAAUCAUAUGUUGCAUCUAAACAAAAAUACAUAUUGCAUGCAGAACAUGAUAAAACAAUUGAAUUAAUUAGAGUAAAAAAUGGCUACAUACCAAUGCUUUAAUGUUAAAUAUUGCCUUCCCAGCAGAUAUAUAGGCAUCAAUCUGAUUCUGCAUCUCGGAAUCUGUUGAAUGUCAAUCACAUUUAGAUGGCCAUGUAAUCAUUUAAGGAGAAAAGCUUAGACACAUUACAGUAUGAAACACAAAGGGUUUGGCUUUGCUCAUUUGUCAAUAUGUUCACAAUUCAGUUACAGGAGAAUACCACCUAACUUUCAGUUCAAAACAGGCAACUCUAUAACUUCAGAAGAUAUAAAAUUACACUCAUCAAAGUUAUGCUAGGAUUACCAAGCACAUAAAGAUAAGUGUUAAUUGGAACCAGAGAUACUGCAGCAAGUGUAGUUACAUGUACUAACUUAGUCAAUAAAAUCAGGUACUUGUUAGCAAGAAAUCAAAUCUCAGAUUCAGUAUCGAUGCCAGUCCUGUUGGACUAGCAUAGUUGCAAUAUUCUGCAGUAAAGCAACAGGAACAGAUCAAAACUGAUCAAAUAAAAUAAGGAUAAAGGAAAAGGAAAAGAAACAAUGGAAAAUGACAACAAAGCCAAAUGUUACUCUCUCUCUCUCUCUCUCUCUCUCUCUUCUUCUUCUUCUAUCUGGUCAUAAGCAUAAUUCUUCACAACCAAAGGCUAAUACAUUAAUGCUGGAGUUUAGGGUUUUAGACCUGACACAUUUGGCCAUUUCAAACUUAGGAUCAUGACAAUUUGAAUUUUUAGUUCCACAGCUCAACACUACCAAAUUGGUCCCAUGCACUGACUGCUUUGGUUCACCUAGUUUAACCAAUAAUUCACUUGACAUCAGUUAAACCUAGCCAACUUAAUAAUCCCAAUGCUCAAGUAGCCCACAACUUGACCCUUGCUCACAGGGUGGUACACCAUGAAUUUAGUCCCUUAGUUGUUAGUUUCAACUUUCAAGUACGUUUUCCUUGUGCUAUUGCAUAGUAAAUGAUGGCAUAUCCAUUUAUUGCACCAUUCGGCAAACAUAGUUCAGGAUCUACUGAGGUUCUGUCCUUGAUCACCAGCACAAGAUUUGAGAGGAACAUAUAGAUAUUAUGCAAGUGAAAACUUUACAUAUAUAUAUCGUAAAUGCAAUAUUAUCAGCCAAAAGAUAUUUUUUCUACAAUGGUUCAUUAGCUAAUGAAUGAAGACAUAAUCAUGGCAAAAUUGCUCCUUCACAAACUGGGCCUCAAUGGUUCAGAUUAUAGAAAUAUCCUCACUACUUCUAGGGAAAAAGUUGUAUGCAUCACCCUCCCCAAACAUUUCACUGGAAGGAGCCUCACACAUUGGGCAGCCCCACCCAUUCUCGUAUGCAAACUUACAGUUGUUGUAUAGUAACCUUCUAGAAGCUAUUAAAAGAUAAGAUCAUAGAAAAGGUUAACAACUAAAACAUAGGAUUUCCAUGACUCCAAGUCAAACGGUAACUUUCUCACCAGCUGCUUGCUAAGCCUCUAUCCUUCUUAGAGUCCCAUGUUAGCACCAAAAUUCCACAGAUGUCAGCUUGAUGGUUACUCACACAAGUUGCUUAUAUUGAUUACUUGUCCUUUUUUGGAAAGUAUAUAUAACCAAUGAUUUAAAUUCUAUUCAAACUUUGAAGUGCUUAGGCAUAGGUUAGUUAGGAGGAGUUUUAAAGUCAUUAAAAAUCAAAAUUUUAAAGUUUUAGAUUAUCUUUAAGAUUAGGAGUUACAAAUUUUAGCAUUUCUAGAAAGUCAUGUAGGUAUAUAAGACCAUAUAUGCAGUCAUAUGAUAGGCCACAUAAGGUGAAGCGGACUCAACAAUGUUAUUGUAAAUAUGAAAUAUGUUGCACAUAGAUGGUCCACAUCAAGGAUUGUAGUUUUGGAUACAAGACCCAUGUCAGUCCAUGGUCGAACCAGUAUGGAUCCAGUCUAAAUUACAUAUUGUUUGAGUUAAAUUAAAUAUGCAACCAUGUAACUUUCUGUUUAAGUGGUCAAAAGCUUCAAUUGACUUAGGCUUAAUAAAUCUACUGCCAUCGACAUGUGGUCAUACGACUGCCUUAAAUAAGGUCACGCAGAGUUAUUAUAAAUGUGAAAUCAAUUGAACAUAUGCAGUCCACAUAGGAAUGAAAAUGUGAUCAAUUUCAUGCUUACAUAUGUAUUUUAUAUCUCCUCAUCACUAUUGUUUCAAUUUUUACUAUCAUCUUAGUGCUACCUUUUAUGGUUUAUAAUAAUAUGCUAUUUAUUACUUAUUUCUUGAAUACUCUUUUAAUGCACACAGACAACAUCAUACUAAUAUUUUAUUAGGUCUUAGCACAGAAUUGCUUAUUAACAAUAUCAACUUAAUUGAAUAUUUCUUUAUUAAUAAAUUAAAUAUUAAUACCUACCAUCCCAACCAACUUCUUGAUAGUCUAGUGAUGACAAAAAAACGUAUACUUUUUUUGUCUAAUUUGAUCCUUUUAUGUAUAUUCAAAGAUGGAACAACAAAAAUGGUUAUUAAUUGAUUAUGGUUAUGGAGUAGAGUCAGACGAGUUCACUGUCUACUUAGGUAGAAAGAACAAUUUCUUCAAAUUAGACAUGACAUGAAUACUAACUAAAUUUAUAAGUUUACAAUAACAUUCAAGAAAUCAUUGCAAUUUAGCAUUAACCAUCACACUUAACAAAAAGAGGGUGCAUAAAACAUCAAACUCAUGUUAUGCCUGCUGAAUCUCAAAAUUCCUGUGACUCCAAAGAGCCUGCUGGAUUUUAAAAUUCGUUGAACUCCAGCAAGGCAGAUUCAACAAAAUGGCAUAAGAUGGUUCUAUUGUUAUUUCACAGAUAAUCUGAAAACGUAUAAUUUUUUUAUGAAAGAUGAAUCAUCAAAAAUGGAAAAAUGCAUGACAUAAAAUUGAAUAUUGUGAAAGUCUUAUUAUUGUAGCUUUGUAGGUUUUAGAAUAUGAUCUAUUGUGUUAAAUGUAACAAAGAACACCAAUGAUAUUGAACCCUUUGAGGGCAUAUCAAAGGUGCCGGUUAUUUCUUGUAAUUUAGGAUUCCUUGUCAAAAGAAAUUUGAGCAUUCCUCCAAUAACCAAUGGAACUGAACCCUUCAAUGUCAUAUCUUGAUAGUUCUGCACUAGUCCUAUGCAUGUCCCCACUAUGCAGACACUAAGAUUAGAAUACAAUAAGGGUCAUAAAAUAAUUUGAACUUUCCAUGUGCAGAUCAUUAUCCAUUAUUUAUAAUGAGGAUAGCAGUGUUCAACAUAUACUCACCGCACGUUAUCUUGUUCUGAUUGUUGGCAAAUUGCCUCACCAAAUCACCCUAAAGGAAAUAAAUGGAUCACAGUAUAAUCAACAUUUUACACAUAAGACAAUAACAUUAACAUAAACCAAAAUUUAUACGAAUUGAUAACAAAGAUUCCUGAGAAUUAAAAAAAAAAAGUCAAAAACCAGCACAUACAUUUAGAAAGAUGAGUUGCAAAAGAAUUUACUCAUGAUAAAAUACUAGUCUUUAAAUAAUUGGUGAACAAAAAUUGAAUUGUAACUGAAUUUAAUGUAUGAAAAAUGCUUGGUGAGCCAAGCUUGAAUUGUAACUGAAUUUCUCACACUGAACUCAAGCCUAGCAAAAUGUUUGGUGAGCAAAGCUUGAACAUGUCAAAAGCUCAGCUUUGCCGUCCUAAUUACAAUGUGUUUUAACUAUGAUUUCUCUCUCUGCUAUGCUAAUUAUAAGUAUCAUGCCAUAAAUGCAAUACUAUCAUCCAAGAGCAAUACAACUAGGCUCUGCAGGAAAACUAUGGUUGAAUUGAAGACCAAAAAUCUGAAAAAUGAAGACUAAAUAUAUCAAAUGUACCACUCUAGGUGAUCUAUAUCAAUUAUCUAUAAAUCAAAAUAUUUUGUUUUAGAACUCCUUGUCUGUGCAUCAAAUCUACCAAAAUGGAAUGCUUUAAUUUUUACGACAUUUAGAAUUGUAUAACCAGCCAGGAGUGUUCUCUAUAGUUCCGGUCUAUUUUGUAUAUUCCUCGAAGAUGCUUAGGUCAAGACAAAUGGAUGAUCCUUUAGGUAUGUAUUAACAUGUAAAUUGGAGUACUAAAGUACUCAACACUCAAUUUUAGGACUAUUUGAUACAUGGCAAAGGAAUGCAUAAAACUUGUAAUAUUAGCCUCUAUGACAUGUAACGCUAUAGAUCACUUUGGAAAGAUUGGAGCACCAAUCUAGAUCCAUUUGUUGGAUCUCUCUGGAACCUUGGGUAUCGGACAUGGUUGUCCACCAGUGAUCUCACAGAAUACCUCAAAUAUCCAUGAUAAGACAACAAAAAUAAGAAUGCUGAAUGAAAUAUAUUAACAAAAGAUGUAGCAUAAAAUUUCAGCAUACACAAUUUAUGUAAAAAAAUACAUUAUAAAACAAAUAUAAAAUUUUCAGGUUGAAUUCAACAGAUUUAUAACAUGAUCCAUUAAAAAAUAUAUAUUAUCAAAUAAACGAAUUAUCUAUGUUUCGGACACAACAAAUAACCAACACUAUGGAGUUGCUAAAAAGUAACAAUUCAUUUUUCUUGUACAAGAUACAAGCAAGACACCUGAUGGUCAUUGUUGUCGAUGGGUGUGCAUUCUACAGCAAGAAUAGUAUCAACAUCAUCAGCAGUUACCACAUAUUCCGGAACAUUGACUCCUAGAACAGGUGAUAAAUCAUAAAGGAAUUAGACGUGUUAUGAAGCAAAAUCAGAAUUAUUACCAUUAUUUUGUCAAGCUAAUACAAAAGAGCGGAGUCAUAUCAAAGAAUACCUUCUAUAUACUGCCUAGUGCCAUUAUCAAGUUCACGAACCCACUAGAAAAACAAUGCAGUUCAAAUCUUAAUAGAAUUUAACCACGACUGAAUGCAAAAACAAUACAUAGAUUUAUUGUCCUAUUCAUGAAAAGUAAGAUAGAAAAUCAUAAGUACCUGAAAGAUGCAAAGAGUUGUACCAUUUGUUGGAUAUCCACAGGCUUGUAACUUGCAUCCUGGUUUAGGCUCACCAUAUAUUUGAAACCCUUCAAUACCAGGUAAGUCAUAUUCACCUGCUAAUUACAGUUAUAAUGAGUGAAGAUCACAGUUAUCAUAAAUUGAGAUCAAAAUUUCCUUUUCCAAUUUAAUAUUAGUUUAGCCUUCCAUACCUUCCAAAACAAAGGACCCUUGGUUAUCGUGCACGGUAGCCGUAUGAAAUUGGGCAUCAGCAUUUAAAGUUCUAAAUGUGGCCUUAUGAGCAUAACCUUCAGAAGAGCUGGAAACACCAGUAUUACCAACCUCCCUGCAUAAUAGAGUUCAUAAGUGUGUUGAAAUUUAUUUCUGUCAGGGGAGGAUCAACCAGACAAAGUUCUCAUAGAGAGAGCAAAUGGUAAUUCCCAAAAGUUAUUAAUUCUCAAAUAGUACUAGAGUAGGCACAAUAAACAACAUAACUCCAUGUGCCCCUCAUUUGGGUAUUACAAAAUGCAUCCUUUCUACCAAUUAGCAUAUCAAAAUCACUUCUUCUAACCAGACAUUUUUCUCUUCUAUUUAUAUACAAGCUCUCAUCAUUCUUCUCUCCACCUUGGUGUACCUCUAAUUAGAAUUGAUAUAUUCCAGCACUGUUUCACUACAUUGUCCAUUUUGAAAUGCAUCUUAACCACCUAGAUGACUUCACUCGUCUUGCUCUAAUUUGGGCAUACUACACAGCUGACAUAAUAAAUUUACCUAACAGUCAGCUGCUCAAGGUUCUGCUCAUCUAGUAUUUCAUAUUUCAUAAGUGUUAUCUAGAAUUUAGUUUUGACCUAUGCGAUACCAGAAAACUUGAGAAUUGAAAUCCCUUAUUAUCCAUUAAAACUUUCAUGGCUUCAUGAAUGCAUAAAGUAAAGAACUUGAAAAACAAGCUCCUAUUGUCUUUUAAACAUUCAGAAAAACAAGGUUAAGAUAAUCAUCUUAUAGUCUCAAAUUCAUUUUAUGGUCUGUGAAUCAGAUGCAGUCUGAAGAAUAAUUAAAACCCCAAAUCUUUAUUACCCUACCAGUCUACAAGGCAGAUGCAAUCUGACAGGUAAAACUAACAAGCCACCGCUGACCCAAAGGCCACCUCUGCAUAUUUUAUCCUCCCUCAAAAAGAAAAUUUUAUAUUUUAUAAGGUUUUGAAGGAUUUAUGAUCUUACCAUGAAAACUAAUUUUAAAAAGCUAAAAUUAGCACAAGUAUCACCAAGCAAACCAAAUGUGUGUCAAUCUAAAGAUUUAUAUCGUUAAUUGAUGUUAACCAUUGACAUGAUAUAGUGCUGAAGGCUAACUGCUACAUGAUUUAUGACAAAAGCAUCAUCUUAAGAACAGUCCACUUAUGGAAGUAAAAGCUUCAUAAGCUCAUUUUUCUCUUUGAAAGUUAUUAACAUGUGUGUAUGUGCUAUUAGAGCUUGAUAUAUGUUGGGUUCUUUACUAACAGCUUAGGCUCUUAAGAUUAAUGGUCCCCAGUCAAGAUCUUUAUCAUGAUAUGAGAGCAAGUCAUGGAUUGAAAUAUGUAUGCUCCCUUUUUAUUUCACCCAGUACUUAAUAAAUGUUUAUGCAAUGUAUGUUUCUUAUUUAAGCUCGCACCAUGUAUUUGGGUUCAGUUUCACAAGCCAAGCCUAAUCUCACUUGCACAUAAGCGGGAAUGUUAGAUUUUAAUAUAUACAUUGGACCAUUGUGUUUGGAAUUAAUAGUCACCCAGUCAAAAUCUUUAUCACGUGCCAAGAAAGUAGGCUUGGGUGGUUUCAUCUUAUACUAGAAUCUGUUACAAUUAUCAUUCAAAAAUUAAUAUCCCAAUCAAAAUCUUGAUUGCGUGUCAACAAAGUAGGCUUGGGUAGUUUCAUCUUAUACUAGAAUCUGUCACAAUUAUCAUUCAGAAAAUAAUACAAGGUCACUGCAUAAAAGUGUAUCUCACUAGCCUUCAUUUAGUGAUCGCCUUAAAAAUUUACCGAAAUAAAACCAUAUUUGAUGCAUAUUGUCAAAAGGUAUCCAGAAACCAAACAGCAGAAAGAAAAUAAAUCAAAAGCUUAGUAGAUAAAAGGACUUGUACUAACUUAUGAAAUUCUGAUGGCAGAUCUCUUGGCUUCUCAUAAGCAACUGGAUAAGGCAUCUCAGAGUUUAGAGUAACAUCUACAUCCUUUUUAUCUAUCUUUGCAAAGUCUUGAGAGACUCUCAACUGAUUAGCUGUUGAUGUGCCAUGCAAAUCCAUAGGAUGUUGAUCAUAUAGACGAAGCUCAGGUAUAACUGAUUCCUAUGAGUAGGUAUAUCACAAUUCAGCUUUACAAGUUAGGAGUUAGGACACUGAAUAAAAAAUGGAGUAACUCUAGAUAAUACAAAGUGAGCAUAAGACAAUUGGUAUCCUGAGAAGUUGGAUGCUGAAGAUUCUUAUUAACCAUUAGAUUAUCAGGUUGAUUUCCUAAGAGAUGGUUCACAACUUCACAUCACCAAAAUUAUCCUGCAAUAAUAGUGUAAAUUAAUUGAAAAUUCUAAUCACUAUUAGAUAAAUGAUAUUUGUGAGAAAAAGGCCAAAAGAGCAACAAUAUAAUAUUCGUUGUUCCUAGUUUGCUAAUUACAUAAAAAAGAACAUUAACAUAGAGUUUUUGUUUGUAAGGAUCACUGUGAAGGCAGGAUUUGGUCCCAUAAUGUAUAUCUUUACUGGCCAAGUUAGCUAGCAAUUUAAGAUAAUUACCUGAUUCAAUCUUAGACUUGCUAUCAACAAUCAUAAUCUUUACUAUUUAAGCUAGCCAGCAAAUAGACUUUGCAUGCGCCCUGCUUUGGCUGUAUUGGUUGGCAUUGGUAUCAGACACAAGCACAUGCAGGGGGUCACGGCCACAUAUAAAUCUAGUAAAAACAACAGCAUAAACAUGGCAACAGAUGCAGUGGGUUAUUACCACUGGGGCUCAGCACAUUCAAAUUGAUGUGCCAGAAUCUGGGAUGUAACAGCAUGAUCGCAACUGACGAAGGCCAAAGACAUCAGCUUUCAAAUAACUUCUACUAGAUAUAUAGGUUUAUGGGCAUAACCAAUGUCGAUAGCAUUUAGAUGAAACAAUUGUUCCACUAUGAAGGAAUAAACUGACAAGGUUUUGACUGUGUGAAUAUAAUCAAGUAUAGUACUCAAUAACUGAAAGGAAGGUUACUUACAUUAUAUCUAAUCUUCCAAUGCAUACUCUGGUACAAUUGCUGAAAAACCCAAUAAAAGAGAAAUCAGCUACUCCUGCAUUUCUUCAUGAAUGCUUAUUAUAUUUGGCAUAUAAUAAACGAGAAUCAUCAUACAGUUCGUCAUAAACACAAAGCAGCUAACAGCUACAUCAGUUACUAAUAGUAUUUUGACGUACUAAAAUCGUGCAACACCAUAGUGAUUAUUAUAACUGAAAAAGAAUAAGGAGAAAAGGUGUCAUGAUAUUGGGUGAGUUCAAAAUCGGUAUGAAACUGCAUAGACAGACUAGCAGAGUUAUGAGUUGGUUUCUUGCACCCUUGCACUGCCAUUACAUGAAUCAACACAAUCUAGUACUAGAUCAUGCCAGCCCUAAGGUCCUGCAAUGUGCAACACAUAGCAUUGAAUCCCUCAAUGAAAAUUAACAUAAAUGCUUUCAGAGAAUGUAAAAGAGGAUUAUCAGCUUAACAGAUGAACUGAGCAUAGUAUCAUGGAACAUUUAAACAGUACUAUUACUUGAGAUUUCCUGUACCUAAUGCUGGCUGAGGACAAAAAGAUAAAUUGGAACAAAUCAUGAAAUUGCAUAUCAAAGUAGCAAAUAAGAGAAAUUUUUUAGAACACUGGCCAACCAAAAGAAUUCUACCUUUAUACCGUAGGAAAUUGCAGAAGAACUGAUAACAGGGGGUCGGAUGUCAUAUUCAGCUAAUAAACUUAGGAAUGAAGAAGUUAAUAUAUACAUCUCUUCCUCUACAACCUACAGAAAUUGGUAAAAGAUAUAUUAUAAACAAUAAAGAGGGUGGCUGCAUUCAAUAUUUUUAACAAAGCCCAAGAAGAGAUGAAAGGCAAAAGUACUUGUAAAUCUUAUCACAACCUGUGAGAUGAUGCAAACAAGAGAUGGAUCUCGUGAUAUGAGACAGCAUAAUUACCUCAUAUUAGCAGAUAAAAAUAAUAAAUAAAGAAGUGAAGUCACAGGUUUAGAUUCAUAUUGUGGUUUUCUAUCACAGGAGAGCUUAGAAACAAAGUUUCUAGAAAAAAAAUUUACUAAACAUAAUUUCACAGCUCUGAGUCUUCACUAAAUCAGAUAUAAAUCAAGAUUUCAAUCCAAGUAAUCUGACUCCAAUCUGAUCUGAUUAUUUGAUUCCUACACAGACCAGGAACAAAUCAGAUUCAAUCUGGUCCAUGUUCAAUCCAUUUACAGCCCUAGCCAUGCCAGCUAUGCUGUCCCAUAAUUUAGUCCUAGCAUGACGUUUCCGAGUUUCGGGUUUGAAAUUUUCUUACUAAUACACCUAAGCCUUUUGCAAUCCACAAGUUAUCCUUGUGGCAAUCACUAAGUUGUCCUUCUCAAAUGAUGCAAUGUAACAAAGUCGUAGGUAUUGUGGAGACAAUUUAGAUAUUAAUAAGUGGAAGCUUUCCUUUUUUUCUUUCCUUUCUUGUGGUACAGUGCCUCACUAGAGUGAACAAGAUUUUUACUGUGAUGUAAAGAUCAGGUUUUUACUUUUUAUCAUGAGUGUGAAUUGUGGAAGAGUAAGGUGAGCUCAGUACACCAUGAACAGCAUGGUUAUCCAGAAUAGUCUGAGAGGAGAAUUUGAUACUUAAACACACUCUAUGGCCAAACCUACCAUAUGAUUCCAUCCUAAAGAGAAGUAGAGCAAAAAGUUGUGUUUCAUCCAUUUGCACAGCCAGCCCAAAGAAUAUACAAUCAAACACAGAAAAUCAUGUCAUCGAAAAAAUUACUUAUAAAAGGCUGGUAGCAAUAUGUGUUCUAUUAAAAAGAUGAAAAAGAUUCAGAAGAAUAAUCUAUCCAAAAUAGAGAAGACUACUUAAACCUCACAUAUCAGAAAGAAUAAUUCUUCUAGAUAGCCAUCUAUAUAAUAAGCUGAACAAGUCUUCCAAAAACAUCCACAAAAAAAAUGCUUCUAGGUACACGUAUGUGUACUAAACAGCUGAUCAAGUCAUCUAUAAACCUCUACAAGCAAUUGUCUUCUUUGUUAGAAUACGACAAUUGUAGGAUUUUCAAACAUGAAGAUCAGAGGGGAGAACAUGAUGGUAGAU